AUGCAAGUCGAACGCGAAAGUCCCGCAAGGGAUAAGUAGAGUGGCAGACGGGUGAGUAAUGCAUAGGUAAUCUACCCUUGAGUGGGGAAUAACUCCGGGAAACCGGUGCUAAUCCCGCAUAAUGUCCCGGCUCACAGGCGUCGGGAUCAAAGGGGGGGAUCCUUCGGGACCUCCUGCUUGAGGAUGAGCCUAUGUCCUAUUAGCUAGUUGGUGAGGUAAUGGCCCACCAAGGCGAUGAUGGGUAGCCGAGCUGAGAGGCUGAUCGGCCACACUGGAACUGAAACACGGUCCAGACUCCUACGGGAGGCAGCAGUGGGGAAUUUUGCGCAAUGGGCGAAAGCCUGACGCAGCGACGCCGCGUGAGGGAUGAAGGUCUUAGGAUUGUAAACCUCUGUCAGGAAGCAUUAAAUGUACGGAUGCCAACACCAUCCGUGCUUGACUUAACUUCCAGAGGAAGCCCCGGCUAACUACGUGCCAGCAGCCGCGGUAAUACGUAGGGGGCAAGCGUUACUCGGAUUUAUUGGGCGUAAAGAGAAUUAAGGCGGUCAUGUAAGUCAGUGGUGAAAUCCCCCGGCUCAACUGGGGAAUUGCCUUUGAUACUGCGUGACUCGAGGACAAGAGAGGAAGGCGGAAUUCCCGGUGUAGCGGUGGAAUGCGUAGAUAUCGGGAGGAACACCUGAGGCGAAGGCGGCUUUCUGGACUGGUCCUGACGCUGAUAUUCGAAAGCUAGGGGAGCAAACAGGAUUAGAUACCCUGGUAGUCCUAGCUGUAAACGAUGGAUACUAGAUCUUGCAUGAUUUUGCUUGGUCGAGCUACGCGUUAAGUAUCCCGCCUG
rnacentral:rRNA from 1 species